rnacentral:rRNA from 1 species
UAUUGCGAUCAUAUCAACACAAAUGCACUGAAUUUCAUUAAAAUUCCAAAGUUAAAUGUGUUUGAACGAAAGCAGUACUGGGAUGGUUGACCUUUUAAAAAGUUUUCGUAUGGCAACUU